rnacentral:rRNA from 1 species
UACGGGGGGGGGAAGCGUUGUUCGGAAUUACUGGGCGUAAAGGGCUCGUAGGCGGCCAACUAAGUCAGACGUGAAAUCCCUCAGCUUAACUGGGGAACUGCGUCUGAUACUGGAUGGCUUGGAUUCGGGAGAGGAAUGCGGAAUUCCAGGUGUAGCGGUGAAAUGCGUAGAUAUCUGGAGGAACACCGGUGGCGAAGGCGACAUCCUGGACCGGUAUUGACGCUGAGGCGCGAAAGCCAGGGGAGCAAACGGG